AGCAGCCGCGGUAAUUCCAGCUCCAAUAGCGUAUAUUAAAGUUGUUGCAGUUAAAAAGCUCGUAGUUGAAUUUCGGGAUCAAAUUGUCGGUCGUGCCUCGGUACGCACUGGUAUUAUUGGUUCCUACCUUCUGAAGAACCGCGAUGUCAUUAAUUUGGUGUCGUGGGGAAUCAGGACUGUUACUUUGAAAAAAUUAGAGUGUUUAAAGCAGGCUUACGCUUGAAUACAUUAGCAUGGAAUAAUGAAAUAGGACGUUUGAUUCUAUUUUGUUGGUUUCUAGGAUUGACGUAAUGAUUAAUAGGGAUAGUUGGGGGCAUUAGUAUUCAAUUGUCAGAGGUGAAAUUCUUGGAUUUAUUGAAGACUAACUACUGCGAAAGCAUUUGCCAAGGAUGUUUUCAUUAAUCAAGAACGAAAAUUAGGGGAUCGAAGACGAUCAGAUACCGUCGUAGU
rnacentral:rRNA from 1 species